UAAGAUUCAUAAGCGCCAGAGCUUAAGUGCCAGAUCGGAACGCCGGAGGACGCAAUCGCGUCUAACGGGUAUGUGCAACUUAAGCUGACGAGGUGGAGGUGUUCGAAAUAUUCGGCGGGGACCUCCCGGUAUUGCAUCAAACCGUAAGCGAAUUUCGGAAAACGGACAGGCGACUGGCCGCACAAACGGAUUCGCGGAUGCUCA
rnacentral:ncRNA from 2 species